UAGAGGACAUUCCUACAGAUAACCGCCCAGAUAACUGUACUGGGAUCUCUGAGAAACGUCUGGUAUCUUCAGAUUUUGAAGUAGAUGGUCGUGGUUUCACACGAGAUGAAGAGCAUGCCAAUAUCCAAGAUAUACCCUCAUCCAAUCACA